rnacentral:rRNA from 1 species
AGUGAAUAGAUACCCAGGUAGUCCACGCCGUAAACGAUGGAUGCUAGCUGUUUGAGGUAUCGACCCCUCAAAGUAGCGAAAGCUAACGCGUUAAGCAUCCCGCCUGUGGAGUACGGUCGCAAGACUAAAACAUAAAGGAAUUGACGGGGACCCGCACAAGCGGUGGAGCGUGUUGUUUAAUUCGAUGGUAAGCGAAGAACCUUACCCAGGCUUGACAUCCUUGGAAGCUCCUCGAAAGAAGAGUGUGCUUUUAGAGCCAAGUGACAGGUGAUGCAUGGCCGUCGUCAGCUCGUGUCGUGAGAUGUUUGGUUAAGUCCAUCAACGAGCGCAACCCUUGUAGUUAGUUGAAUUUUUCUAGCUAGACUGCCCUGGUAACAGGGA